UACGAAGGGGGCUAGCGUUGCUCGGAAUCACUGGGCGUAAAGGGUGCGUAGGCGGGUCUUUAAGUCAGGGGUGAAAUCCUGGAGCUCAACUCCAGAACUGCCUUUGAUACUGAGAUCUUGAGUUCGGGAGAGGUGAGUGGAACUGCGAGUGUAGAGGUGAAAUUCGUAGAUAUUCGCAAGAACACCAGUGGCGAAGGCGGCUCACUGGCCCGAUACUGACGCUGAGGCACAAAGCGUGGGG
rnacentral:rRNA from 1 species